GGUAACGCGUGAGGAUCUGCCUUCAGGAGGGGGAUAACGACUAGAAAUGGUCGCUAAUACCCCAUAUGUCUAAGGAUGAAAUGAUUUAUCGCCUGAAGAUGAGCUCGCGUCAGAUUAGCUAGUUGGUGGGGUAAUGGCCUACCAAGGCGACGAUCUGUAGCUGGUCUGAGAGGAUGAUCAGCCACACUGGGACUGAGACACGGCCCAGACUCCUACGGGAGGCAGCAGUGGGGAAUUUUCCGCAAUGGGCGAAAGCCUGACGGAGCAAGACCGCGUGAGGGAUGAAGGCCUAAUGGUUGUAAACCUCUUUUCUCUAGGAAGAUGAUGACGGUACUAGAGGAAUCAGCCUCGGCUAACUCCGUGCCAGCAGCCGCGGUAAUACGGAGGAGGCAAGCGUUAUCCGGAAUUAUUGGGCGUAAAGCGUCCGUAGGUGGCUAUAUAAGUCAGCUGUUAAAGAGUGGGGCUUAACCUCAUAAAGGCGGUUGAAACUAUGUAGCUAGAGUUUGGUAGGGGUUACGGGAAUUCCCAGUGUAGCGGUGAAAUGCGUAGAUAUUGGGAAGAACACCGGUGGCGAAAGCGCGUAACUGGG
rnacentral:rRNA from 1 species